rnacentral:rRNA from 1 species
UACAGAGGGUGCGAGCGUUGUCCGGAAUCACUGGGCGUAAAGGGCGCGUAGGCGGCCUGAUAAGUAGGGGGUGAAAUCCUGCGGCUUAACCGCAGGGCUGCCUUCUAAACUGUCAGGCUAGAGCACAGUAGAGGCAGGUGGAAUUCCCGGUGUAGCGGUGGAAUGCGUAGAGAUCGGGAAGAACAUCAGUGGCGAAGGCGGCCAUCUGGACGGCUAUUGACGCUGAGACGCGAAAGCGUGGGGAGCAAACAGG